GAUGAACGCUAGCUACAGGCUUAACACAUGCAAGUCGAGGGACCGGCGCACGGGUGAGUUACACGUAUCCACCCUCCCCUUUACUCGGGGAUCGCCUUUCGAUAGCAAGAUCAAUACCCUAUAUAAAGCAUGGGUAUGCUUUCCAUUUGGUUGUUGGUGAGGUAACGGCUCAUCAAGGCUUCGAUGGAUAGGGGUGCGGAGGGGAAGGUCCCCCACAUUUGAACUGAGACACGGUCCAAACUGCGACGGGGGGCAGGAGUGAGGAAUAUUGGGCAAUGGGCGCUAGCCUGAACCAGCCAAGUAGCGUGAAGGAGCAAGGCUUAGGGAUCGUAAACUUGUGUUAUAUAAGAAGAUGUAUUAUAUGAAUAAGGAUCGGCUAACUCCGUGCCAGCAGCCGCGGUAAUUC
rnacentral:rRNA from 1 species